rnacentral:rRNA from 1 species
UGCGUAGGCUGCGCGGAAAGUAGGGUGUGAAAUCCCUCGGCUUAACCGAGGAACUGCGCUCUAAACUACCGUGCUCGAGGGAGAUAGAGGUGAGCGGAACUUAGGGUGGAGCGGUGAAAUGCGUUGAUAUCCUAAGGAACACCGGUGGCGAAAGCGGCUCACUGGAUCUUUUCUGACGCUGAGGCACGAAAGCUAGGGUAGCGAACAGGAUUAGAUACCCCGGUAGUCCUAGCCGUAAACGAUGAGCACUGGAUUGGAGGGUCCUCCAUAGCCUUCCAGUCGCAGCGAAAGUGUUUAGUGCUCCGCCUGGGGAGUAUGGUCGCAAGGCUGAA